UACGUAGGGUCCGAGCGUUGUCCGGAAUUAUUGGGCGUAAAGGGCUCGUAGGCGGUUUGUCACGUCGGGAGUGAAAUUCCACAGCCUAACUGUGGAAUUGCUUCCGAUACGGGCAGACUUGAGGCAUUCAGGGGAGAACGGAAUUCCUGGUGUAGCGGUGAAAUGCGUAGAUAUCGGGAGGAACAUCGAUGGCGAAGGCAAUCACCUGGGCCUGAACUGACACUGUGACACGAAAGCGUGGGUAGCAAACAGG
rnacentral:rRNA from 1 species